rnacentral:tRNA from 4 species
GGGGGCAUAGCUCAGUUGGGAGAGCGAUUGGUUCGCAAUCAAUAGGUCGGCGGUUCGAUUCCGCCUGUCUCCACCA